AUACGGGGGGUGCAAGCGUUAAUCGGAAUUACUGGGCGUAAAGCGCGCGUAGGCGGUUUGCUCAGUCGGAUGUGAAAGCCCAGGGCUCAACCUUGGAACUGCAUACGAUACUGGCAAACUAGAGUGUGAGAGAGGAUAGUGGAAUUUCCGGUGUAGCGGUGAAAUGCGUAGAUAUCGGAAGGAACAUCAGUGGCGAAGGCGACUGUCUGGCUCAACACUGACGCUGAGGUGCGAAAGCGUGGGUAGCAAACAGGAUUAGAAACCCCUUGUAGUCC
rnacentral:rRNA from 1 species